rnacentral:rRNA from 1 species
UACGUAGGGGGCAAGCGUUAUCCGGAUUUACUGGGUGUAAAGGGCGCGUAGGUGGUAUGGUAAGUCAGAUGUGAAAGCCCAGGGCUCAACCCUGGGACUGCAUUUGAAACUACCAAACUAGAGUGCAGGAGAGGUAAGUGGAAUUCCUAGUGUAGCGGUGAAAUGCGUAGAUAUUAGGAGGAACACCAGUGGCGAAGGCGGCUUACUGGACUGUAACUGACACUGAGGCUCGAAAGCGUGGGGAGCAAACAGG